UCACGAGUUUCAGCCACUUUCCCUGACGCAAGGUCGGGGUCGUUACGAAUAGGACAAAUAUACACCAAGCCUUUGAAGGAUGAGGUUCCAGUUCAGCUCCUACUUCACGACUCUCUUUCCAGAAACCCAUUCUCUCCCUUCUUUCUCCUUCAAACUUCUUUCUACCAUAACUUUCAUUCUACAACUCCAAUUCUUGCGCCGCUUUCGCCUUUAGGAUCGUAUGAACGAGCUCUACAAGAUAAGUGUGGUUUGGGAGAAUGGUGGUCACUACUAGGCAGCUCAUUGAAGGUUGAGGAUUACUUUGGAGCUGUUAAGGUGAAGAAUCUACCUUGGGCUGAACCUACAGAGAAGUCAGAGUAAUUUUGGGUUGAAGUGGAAGUUGGGUACAUCUUUCAUAAGUGCAGCCAUCACCGGAGAAAAAUAAGCAAACUUAUGCUUGAGGUGUUGCCCAACCUAGAAAAGAAGAAGCAAUAACCAGCAGAUAUUGAAAAUGAAGCUUGGAGUGCCGCACCAAGCUUUUAAGCAAGCUAAUGGAUUGAAUAAGAAGAAGCAAUAACCAGCAGAAUAUGUUUUGUUGUCGGAACCUACUGUAAAUUUUGUACUCUUGUGGGUUUUGUAAAUAAAAAGUUGCUUGUGAAUACAACGAGUUUAUUU